CUCGAGAAGAGUUAUCUUUUCUGUUUAACGGCCUGCCCACCCUGGAAACGGCUCAGUCGGAGGUAGGGUCCAGCAGCCGGAAGAGCACCGCACGUCGCGUGGUGUCCGGUGCGCCCCCAGCGGCCCUUGAAAAUCUGGAGGACCGAGUGUCAUCCGCGCCCGGUCGUACUCAUAAUCGCAUCAGGUCUCCAAGGUGAACAGCCUCUGGUCAAUGGAACAAUAUAGGCAAGGGAAGUCGGCAAAAUGGAUC
rfam:Gossypium arboreum cultivar AKA8401 contig_280179_1, whole genome shotgun sequence.